AGAUUCUUGGCUGUCACUAUCCUGACCUACCACCUGUGUCACAUCCCAUUAGGUUCUGUGGAUGAGGCAUGGUGCUUGGCACAGACUGACACAAGUUUGGGCAAACUUGGCAGAGCAGCCUAACCCAAAGCGAAAAACAGAAAUGAACCAAGAUACAACCUCUGUGGAAAACCCUACUGAACAAAAGCAACUCUGUGGAGUGUCCUCUCAGCUGCAAAUUGAGACAGAAUUGUGGGGCAAGCUUGGCCACUGAUGCAGCUUGCUACACAGAAAGCCAGAGACCGAGAGCCAAUGACUGAGACUAUGAGUAUUGCCAAGGAAGAAGGCUUUAAUUGGGUGCUGCAGCUGAAAAGAUGAGAGCUCAGCCUCAAAUCCAUCUCCCUGACCAACUAAAGCUAAGGAUUUAUAUAGCAGGGAAGAAGACAGGAACUAGGAAGGGGCAAGGAAGCGAUCCUGAUGAAUGAAGGGUCAGGCAUUUCAUUGUCUGGAUGUGGCGAUCUGGUCAACAACCUUAACCAAGAGUAAGGAAGCCACUUGCUCCAAGUCACAGUAGAAGGUUGAGCAUGUGACUAUUACCAAGAGGAAGUGGGGACACAAGUGAUGCCAUGUUGGAGGCUAAUUUGCUGUUUUCACUUCUGAUUAGCCGUUGUCUCGGGAAUGCCUUCCGAUUAUUACUUAAUUUACUGUCCCUAAUGUAAGAACAUGUCAACCUUGAUGCUGUUGCACAAAUUAUAGGCUUUGAUGCAUGCAGCA
ensembl:lncRNA novel transcript